rnacentral:rRNA from 1 species
ACGGCUCAGUAACACGUGGAUAACCUGCCCAAGGGUCCCGGGAUAACCCCGGGAAACUGGGGAUAAUACCGGGAUGGAUCACUUAUGCUGGAAUGCUUGGUGGUCGAAAGGUGACGCCCUUGGAUGGGUCUGCGGCGGAUUAGGUUGACGCCGGUGUAACGUACCGGCGUGCCUGUAAUCCGUACGGGUUGUGGGGGCAAGAGCCCGGAGAUGGAUUCUGAGACACGAAUCCAGGCCCUACGGGGCGCAGCAGGCGCGAAAACUCUACAAUGCAGGCAACUGCGAUAGGGGGACAUCGAGUGGCAUCCACCUUGGGUGCCUGUCCCACCGUCUAAAAAACGGUGGUUAGCAAGGGCCGGGCAAGACCGGUGCCAGCCGCCGCGGUAAUACCGGCGGCUCGAGUGGUGGCCGAUAUUAUUGAGUCUAAAGGGUCCGUAGCCGGCUUUGCAAGUCCCCUGGGAAAUCCAGCGGCUUAACCGUUGGGCUUUCAUGGGAUACUACAUUGCUUGGGACUGGGAGAGGUAGGAGGUACUCGGGGGGUAGGGGUGAAAUCCUGUAAUCCCCCGGGGACCACCGGUGGCGAAGGCGUCCUACCAGAACAGGUCCGACGGUGAGGGACGAAAGCUAGGGGCACGAACCGGAUUAGAUACCCGGGUAGUCCUAGCCGUAAACGAUGCCCGCUAGGUGUCACGGCGGUCGUGAAUCGCCGUGGUGCCGUAGGGAAGCCGCGAAGCGGGCCACUUGGGAAGUACGGCCGCAAGGCUGAAACUUAAAGGAAUUGGCGGGGGAGCAC